rnacentral:rRNA from 1 species
UUUUACAAUGGAGAGUUUGAUCCUGGCUCAGGAUGAACGCUAGCGGCAGGCCUAAUACAUGCAAGUCGAACGGGGCA